rnacentral:tRNA from 1 species
UUGGGGCUGGGGCUCAGUGGCAGAGUGUUCACCUAGCAUGUGUGAGACCCUCGGUUCAAUCCCAGCAUCCAAA